CUGGGAAUCCCCUUUGAUUUCUACAGUAAACAUAGAAAAGCUAUAAUAAUAAGAUUCACUUGAACAACUAGAAUUUCUUCCCAGAUCCUCUUACCAAGACGUCUGUGAGCUUCAGCCACAGUAAUAAUGGGGAAGAACCUGCAAAUUUCAUUGGCUGUUCUGUGGCUUCAGCUCAGCUGUAGGUUGGGGAGUUCCUGGACAUGAGAACAAGAAGAGAAAAGGGAGAGGUUUUCAAAAUUCUGAGGAGGGGGAGCAGGGACUCCAAGUGACUGAUCUGGAGUGUCUUCUGGCAAAUGUGUAAAGAACUGUGUAGAGAUACUGCAAUAAUGGUGAUAUUCUGUGUUUGAUGAUGUCUUUGAGAACAGGUGUAAGUGGCAAAAAUGAAGUGGAGCAAAGUCCUCAGUACUUGAGUGCCCAGGAAGGAGAAUUAAUCACCAUCAACUGCAGCUACUCCACAGGAAUGACCACCUUACACUGGUUGCAACAGAAUCCUGGAAGAGGCACAGUCUCCUUGUUUGUACUGAGCUUACAGAUGAAGAAGAACGGAAGAAUGAGUGCCACAAUAAACACAAAGGAAAGUCAAAGCUCCCUGCACAUCGAAGCGUCCCAGCCCAGAGACUCUGCCACCUACCUCUGUGCUGUGGGGCACAGUGCUCCCCAGGCACCUG
rnacentral:lncRNA from 1 species